GGAAUUAAGCGUUACAUAAUUUGGGUUUGUAAACUUUAAAAGUCUCUCUAUGGUUUGAAGCAAUCUCCUCGGCUUGGUUUGGUCAUUUUAGUUCAAUCUUGAUAAAGUUUGGCAUGACCAGGUGCGAGGCUGAUCAUUUUGUCUUCUCUUUUCACUCCUCUUCUGGCAAGUGCAUUUACCUUGUUUAUGUUGAUGACAUUGUCAUCAGAGGUGACAUGAGACUGGGAUUCGACAACUCAAAGAGCACCUUUCACAACAAUUUCAUACUAAAAAUCUGAGCCCUCUAAAAUAUUUCUUAGCCAUUGAAGUUGCUUAAUCUACUUCUGGAAUUGUCAUUAAUCAACAUAAGUAUGCCCUGGAAAUUGUUACUGAAACUGCAAUGCUUGAUUUUCAUCCUUGUUAUACUCUUAUGGAUCCUAAUAUCAAGCUUCUUCCAAGUUAGGGAGAGCCAUUGAAAGACCUGGAAAGAUAUCGUCGCCUGAUAGGCAGACUCAACUAUCUCACUAUCACCAAACCUGACAUCACUUUUGCAAUUAAUGUGAUAAGCCAAUUUCUGAAUGCACCUUGUGAUAGCCUGAUAGAGGAAUAAAAGUGUAUGUAAGGAGAAAUAAAGGCGGGAAGGGAAAUUAAGAGGGAAUGUCUGUUAGAAGUUUGUUAGAGGGGAAAGGGAGUAUAAAUAGUAGUAGAAUAAGUGGAGAGAGGUUUUAUCAUAUAUUUUACACAAAAGGGAAUAGACUGGACAUUUUCCAGUGGAGGAAGGGAGGCUUCCUUGGGUAUACUUACUUGUAGUUCUGUUUUACACAAUCUACAAAAUUAAUGAAAUACACAUACAUUCACUAUUUUGUUGUUGUUUGAGUGCUGAGAGAAAGGUGAGCUAACUGUUGAGGUUCUCUGCAUAAAAGAACUCAACAAAUUAGGUCCGACCUGCCGGAUCCAGAUCGGAGGAGUAAACGAUGGAGAACAGGAUGAAUGCACUGGAGGGAAGAUUCGGUUCCAUGGAAGGAAGGUUCGAUUCCAUGGAAGGAAGAUUCGAGUCCAUGGAAACCAUGUUGGAGGAGAUUCGAUCGGAGAUGAGGGGAAGGACUCGAAAUGAGAAUCGCAACCGUGGAAGACAAAUUAUUAAUCGCGAACGUGAGAGAAGAAGGAACCAGGUGAGGAGUUCGGAGGGCAAUCAUUCGAUUAAUGGAAGUCGGGAGACAGAGGAGGAUGAAUCGGAGGAUGAAUAGGAGGAAGAAGGCGAGGACGUUCAAAAGAGUUGGAUGAAGAGAGUGGAAUUACCUACUUUCGAAGGGAUCGAUCCGACGGGAUGGAUCAUGAGAACAGAGAAGUUCUUUGAAAUAUGAGUGUAACAGAAAAGGAGAAAAUGAAACUGGUGUACAUCUGCAUGGAAGGGGAAGCGAACUACUGGUUUCGCUUUUGGCAGAAGAAGGUUAAGAAGCAUACCUGGGCAACAUUAACGGAGGCGAUGGUCAGGAGAUUCGGAGAUAGACACCGAGGAACGAUCUUCGAAAAAUUAGCAACGGUGAGACAACGGGCAUCGGUGGCAGAAUAUGUGCGGGAGUUUGAAAUCCUAGUGGCUCAGGCGGAUGAUGUGACGGAGGAACAGUUGUUGGGGUAUUUCUUUGCGGGACUCCAAGAAGAAUUAAGGGAUCUUGUCCGACCAUACAUUCCUCGCGACCUGUUAAUCGCGAUGGAAAGGGCACGAGACAUGGAGCAAUCAGGGUUGGUAUCGAAAGUGACCAAAGGAGGCACGGUGAGUAAAGGAGGACCAACAUGGGGGAAGUACGCAGCUAGUGGAGGAACGGUAGCUAGAACGGAGAUAUAUCGGGGAACAACAAAGGGACGCACGAGCAGCGACGGAGGUAUGGGUCAGAAGAAAGAGGCAACAACCAGAACCGCCGGUCCGAAGGUCGAAAGUACGUCAGGGGGUGGCGGGCCGAAUCGCGGAGUGCAAACACUGCCAUAUCCAGAAUACCUCAAGAGGCGAGACGAGGGCUAUUGUUUUCACUGUGGCAGACCUUAUAGUCCUAGGCAUCGUUGCGCAGAGAGGAGUCUCAAGGUGAUGAUUAUGGGUGUCGACGACGACGCGGAGGAUGCGGAAACGAGAGAGGAGGCACAGCAGCUUUGCAUGGAGCUGUCGGUGUAUUCAGCCGGGGGGUAACGCAAUCUAACACCAUGAAGCUGGCCGGAUGGGUUCGAGACCGGAGGAUCGUCGUGCUGAUCGACAGCAGGGCGAGUCACAAUUUUAUCUCGGCCCACUUGGUAGACAAACUGCGGUUAGAGAAGGAGUCGACGCCCCCCUAUCAGGUAUGUUUGGGAGAUGGCCAGAGAAAGGAGACACAAGGGUGUUGCAGAGGGCUGUCAGUGAAGCUGGAGGGAGCGGAAGUGCGAGAGGAUUUCUAUAUAUUUGAGUUAGGUGGAGUGGAUGUAGUGCUGGGAGUGGCGUGGUUGGCAAAAUUGGGAGAGAUAAUGGUGGAUUGGAAGAAGAUGACAUUAAAGUAUGGGUCGGCAAAUGCUGAGGUGGUGAUAAGGGGGGACAGCUCAUUAAUGAAAAAAAUCAUUACCCCUGAAAUGCUGCAAAAGGAAGCUGAGAUAGAGACACUGGCGGUGGUAUGGGGUCUGAAUAAAGCUGAAACAGCAGAGGGAUAGCUAAGGGAAAAAGACUUAACCCCCAUGCAAAAACAAAAUUUAAAUGAAAUUUUGUAGGAAUUUGGGGUGGUGUUCCAGGAAGUGCAGGGACUUCCUCCUGUCAGGCGGGUUGAUCACCAGAUAACCCUUAAAGAGGGCACCGAACUUGUAAAUGUAAGGCCGUAUAGAUAUCCUCACCUGAUGAAAGCUGAAAUAGAAAGACAGGUGCAAGAGAUGAUGGGCUUGGGCAUUAUCAGGCCCAGUAACAGCCCAUAUUCUAAUCCGGUUAUUUUAGUUAUAAAAAAAGAUGGGAGCUGGCGUUUUUGUAUUGAUUACAGAGCUCUAAACAGAGUUACCAUACCAAAAAAAUACCCCAUUCCCGUGAUUGAAGAACUACUAGAUGAACUUCAUGGAGCAGAUUUUUUUUCCAAGGUGGACCUUAAAGCGGGGUACCACCAAAUACGGAUGAAGGAAGAAGACGUCCCAAAAACAGCGUUUCGGACUCAUGUGGGACAUUACGAAUUCCUCGUAAUGCCUUUCGGCCUCACGAACGCUCCGACCACUUUCCAAGAUAUGAUGAAUUCAUUGCUGAGACCUUUCUUGAGGAAGAGCGUGUUGGUCUUCUUUGAUGACAUCCUUGUGUACAGCAAAUCUUGGGAAGCUCAUGAAGAUCACCUCAGACAAGUGAUGGAGGUGCUGCGGCAGCAUCAGUUGUUUGCGAAGAAGAAAUUCGAGUUUGGUAAGAGACAGAUUCGUUAUUUGGGCCAUAUGAUAUCAAAGCAAGGAGUAGAGAUGGAUGGCGAGAAGGUGUCAGCGGUGACUGAUUGGCCGGCGCCCAGAUGUGUCAAAGAGCUGAGAGGUUUCUUAGGACUCACAAGUUACUAUAGAAGAUUUGUGAAAGAUUAUGGGAAAAUCGCGAGGCCUCUCACAGAUCUCUUGAAAAAAGGGAAGUUCGAGUGGACGGUAACGGUCACUACUGCUCCGGUACUAGCUCUGCCUGAUUUUUCACAGGCAUUUCAAGUGGAAUGUGAUGCUUCCGGGAAGGGCAUAGGAGUUGUACUGUCUCAAAACAAGAAACCCAUAGCUUAUUACAGCAAGGCGUUGUCAGAAGGUUCAUUGGGCAAGUCAGUGUAUGAGAAGGAGUUGAUGGCACUGGUGCUGGCCAUUCAACAGUGGCGUCCGUAUCUACUAGGAAGGCGCUUCAGUGUAUUUAUAGACCAGAAAAGCCUAAAACAUUUGUUGGAACAAUGGAUAACAACUCAAAACCAGCAGAAUUGGCUAACGGGAGCUUCAAACAGAGCGGCCGAUGGAUUGUCUAGAAAAGGUGAAGAUGGGGGAGAAGUGGAUAAGAUGCUGCAAGGGAUAUCCAGGCCAUAUUGGCCUGAUUUUCAAGAGCUGAUGGAGGAAGUAGAGAAUGAUGAAGGGCUGGAAAAAAUAGUGGAAGAGAUAAAGCAGGAUCCGGAUUCCCAUCCCGCUUACACCAUGGAGAACGAGAGAUUACAAUUUAAAGGACGGCUCGUGCUUUCUGAGAAGUCUGAAUGGAUACCCAAGCUUUUAGUAGAAUUCCAUGAUUCGACUAUAAGAGGCCAUUCGGGGGUAUAUCGAACGUAUAGGAGACUCGCUCAGGCUUUUCACUGGAAGGGUAUGAAGAAGAGGGUGACAGAUUAUGUGGCUGCCUGUUUGAUCUGUCAGCAACACAAAUAUAUGGCAUCAUCUCCCCAGGGGCUUCUACAACCAUUGUCAAUCCCCAAGGCAAUUUGGGAAGAAGUAUGGAUUUUAUGGUUAAAUUGCCAAAAUCCCAGGGGUUCGACACGAUAAUGGUGGUGGUGGANAGGUUGAGCAAAUAUGGGCACUUCAUUCCCGUCAAGCAUCCUUAUACAACAAAGGUAAAUGCAGAAAUUUUCGUAAGAGAGGUGGUGCACCUGCAUGGGAUACCCGUAUCAAUUGUUAGCGACCGGGAUCCUCUCUUCAUUAGCACUUUUUGGAAGGAGCUAUUUCGAAUUCAGGGCACCAAAUUGAGAAUGAGUACUGCAUAUCAUCCAGAAACGGAUGGCCAAACUGAGGUAUUGAAUAGGAUACUGGAGACCUAUUUACGGUGUUUUUGUUCAGAACAACCGAAGGCAUGGCACACCGUGUUAGCAUGAGCUGAAUACUGGUAGAAUACCAGCUAUCAGGGAGCAGCAAAAUGCACUCCUUUUGAGACGGUUUAUGGCAGACCCCCGCCAACACUAAACAAAUUUGUUCCAGGAGAAACAUUGGUAGAAGCGGUGGCACAGGACUUACAAACGCGAGAUGAAGCUCUCAAGCAAUUGCAACAUCAUUUAACUAGAGCACAAGAGAGGAUGGUGCAGUAUGUGAAUAGGAAGAGGAAGGAGUCUAAUGUGAAAGAAGGAGAUUGGGUCUUCCUUAAGAUAAGACCCCAUAGACAAGUGUCAAUGCCAACCAAGUUGCACCCCAAGCUGUCUGCUCGUUAUUACGAACCUUUUUUGGUUGAAAAGCAAGUGGGUCCAGUGGCUUUUAAAUUGCAGCUGCCAGAAACAGCCAAAAUACACCCGGUUUUUCAUGUGUCACAAUUGAAGAAAGUUGUAGGGGAGAAUAAGGUGGAAAGGGAAUUGCCGGAAGAAUUACAGGUGCAAGGUCCAUUAUAUAAACCUUUGAAGGUAUUAUAGAGGCGAGACAGAGAUAAAUAAGGAGAAGAGGUGUCCCAAGUUCUGAUCCAGUGGCAAGAGGGUGGAGUAGAAGGAGCAACUUGGGAAGAGGAGGGGUACAUCAAACAACAGUUUCCGAAUUUCAACCUUGAGGACAAGGUUGCUGAGAUGGAGGGGGGUAUUGAUAGAGGAAUAAAAGUGUAUNUAAGGAGAAAUAAAGGCGGGAAGGGAAAUUAAGAGGGAAUGUCUGUUAGAAGUUUGUUAGAGGGGAAAGGGAGUAUAAAUAGUAGUAGAAUAAGUGGAGAGAGGUUUUAUCAGAUAUUUUACACAAAAGGGAAUAGAAUGGACAUUUUCCAGUGGAGGAAGGGAGGCUUCCUUAGGUAUACUUACUUGUAAUUAUGUUUUACACAAUCUACAGAAUUAAUGAAAUACACAUACAUUCACUAUUCUGUUGUUGUUUGAGUGCUGAGAGAGAGGUGAGCUAACUGUUGAGGUUCUCUGCAUAAAAGAACUCAACAUAGCCAUUGGGAUGUUGUCACAAGUAUUCUUCGAUACAUAAAAAAUGGUCCAAGACGAGAAUUAUUGUAUGAAGACAAAGGCAGUUAAGAUCCCUUGUUACUUUGAUGCGGAUUGUGCAAGAUCACCAUCAGAUAGAAGAUCCAAUUCUAGAUACUAUGUUCUUAUUG
rnacentral:lncRNA from 1 species